CAAUUAUGCAUGUGGUUCACAUGUCCAAUGUGCUCAGCUCAAACCAAACAUGCUCAUCACUUAACACGAGUAUCUUCGUCGUUUCUGAGCUUACUACUGACAGCGAAGGAGAACUAAACUCACAAAAACCUAUGCCAAUCGAAACCUCUUAGUGAGCUUCAUCCAUAUUUGAAACUAAUUCCAAUCAAAUCCUCAUAAACUCCCUGAAUCGAGUAGAAUUUCGUAUGAACCCUAAACAAAGAAUUUUAAAUUAAACGCCUAAUCAAAGGAAUCAAAGUCCUUAAAGUUAGGGCUUUGAUUCCUCGGUCUCUCUUCUACAUACUGGUAACAAGAAUGAUGAUUAAAGGUGAAGAAUCAAUACUCACCUUUCUAGAUAAGGGAGUUUGAGCUCGGAGCAAAUAUGCAGGCGUUGAUGAAGAAGGCUUCAGUUAUUGCAGGUUACAUGUUUAUCAACUUUGGUGAAGUUGAGCUAUGUAUCAACAUGAAUGACCUGCCAAUGCAUGUAAAUGCUUUCUAACUGCAGGACUUGGUAUGUGGUCAUGGCUUCAAGGCAUGGCAAUUUGAUGGCAAACAAGGCUUGGUGCAAAAGAUGAUUACUUGUUCAUGAAGAAAAUUGGACAUGGAAUCAAAUGGGAAGAUUGGAAAGGAUAUGGACUUCAAGUAGAAAUUAGGGUUAGGUCAUUGGAAUAGGUAAGUUGACUUUGAUCAACUGGUUGACCAAAAAGUCAAUAGUUGAUCAAAAGUAAAUUGUAGGUCAAACUUGAUUUAUUUGUAAUUUUCUUAUAUGAACCAUUUGUAAAUGACAUUGUAUGAAUGAAUGGACACUUUUUGAA